rnacentral:rRNA from 1 species
UACGAAGGGGGCUAGCGUUGCUCGGAAUCACUGGGCGUAAAGCGCACGUAGGCGAAUUGCUAAGUCAGGGGUGAAAUCCUGGAGCUCAACUCCAGAACUGCCUUUGAUACUGGCGAUCUUGAGUCCGGGAGAGGUGAGUGGAACUGCGAGUGUAGAGGUGAAAUUCGUAGAUAUUCGCAAGAACACCAGUGGCGAAGGCGGCUCACUGGCCCGAUACUGACGCUGAGGUGCGAAAGCGUGGGGAGCAAACAGG